GGGAUCCGCAGUUUCCGGGCGUGAUGUCACAACUGAAGCUACAAUAGCUGGUGCAGGACUUUGAUUUGGGAGCUGUAUACUUGAGCGUUCCUAGAUCUUUAGAUCCGGAGCUCACUCUCCAGAGCCCUUUGCAUCGCUUGGCUGUCAUGGCUGGCGGGACCCGCGCAAGGAGCAGGGCAAACAAGGCAAAGCCGUUCCUCCUUUGAUCCGGAAGAAGAGACCUCAACCUUCGCUGUCGAUUGGACCACGUCAUAAGGGCGGGGCCAUGGCGAUCCAUUCGCCUUGGUAACCAUAUGUGACGUAGCUGUAUGCCUAGGAUCCCUGGCUCUAGGAGCUCGGUUUUAGUGGGCGCAGACUCCGAUCAGGCCCUGUCGUGGGUGGUGCUAUUGAUGCCACGCCCCCCACGUCCUCUCUGACUGGCUGUGAUGCGUCACGUAGCCAGAAGAGACUCGCCGGAAAACUGUGAGCUUGCCUGAGGUAGGAGUCUUCCGGCUUCUACAGCCACUUCCCACGGAAGCUGGGGGAGCCGCCCUCUCAACUAUCUCCCGUCACACCCUUCUGUUCGCUCGCCUCAGACGCUGCCCUUCCACACCCGUGCUCUGGUUCGCGCCUACUUGGGGACGCUGUCCCCCCAGUAUUCACUGCCCUAUCCCCUCCCACCCAUCUAAAAUGUCUAAUAGUCUCCAGAGCGUCAUUCUGAAAACCGCAGAGGAAAAGUCAGGCUCGCGCUGUAUUUCAGGGUGCAUGUACCAAGUAGUUCCUACGAUUGGCAGCGAUGGAAAAAAACUUCUGCAAUUACUUCCAAUUUCUAAAUCUUCUGGAAAUCUUAUCCCAGUAGUUCAGUCUCCAGUCAUGUCUCAUGGUUUGAAAGCGAAUACUGAAAAACCAGUUCAAGUUACUUUUCAAACUCAGAUUUCCAGCUCUUCCACAAGUGCAUCUGUUCAAUUGCCUGUUUUUCAGCCAGCCAAUACUACAAAAUGUUUUUUUACAGGAGCAAUAGAUACAACAGGAAAAGAUAGAGUUACUUCUGUGAGGACUGGAAAUUUUACACCACCAGUUUCUAACAUUCAGAAUCAUGGUGUGAAAAUUCAUAAACUCACCAGGCAAACAUUUACUAUUCCUCCCUCAACACAAAAUGAUUCAUCUCAUUUUAUAUUCAAUACCCCAAGUCUCCUACCAAAUGUGAAUUCUUCAAUUUUGCCUUCUGGGAAUCAUUUAAAGAUUCCAGCCCAUGCUGAAGUGAAAUCUGUACUUGCAUCAUCCUUGCCUCCUUUGGUUCAGCAAAAGAUACUUGGAACUGCAACCACAAGUACCUCAGGAACAGUUGAGGCCUCCCAAAUACCAACAGUUGUUUAUGUACAUCCUGUAAAUUCAGUGAAAUUUGUUGUUACCAAGAAAACUCAGACUAUUUACCCCAAACCAGUGACAUUCAAUACCUUGCAAAUUCCACCAAAUGUUGCUACAGAAACACAAUUAAAAGGUGGUCAGCAUCCUCAAGCUGCUCCAGUGAACUCGAUUUUUCAGGAGUAUCUACAGCCUGGAAUCCCAUGUAUUAUUCCUGUUAAGUCUUCAAAUAAUGUGGCUACAAAGGUUUUAAACACUUUUGUAGGUAGGAAAAAUCUGGGAGAUAAUACAAUAGAUACACCUCUGUUGAAUACCAACAGUUCUGGCAGGACACACUCCGUAAGUGAACCUAUUAAAGAUAAUGCUUUGAUAAUGUUUAAUGGGAAAGUCUGGUUGAAUGAAAAGGGGACAUGCGGUCUGCCAUCAAAAAUUGACCAGCAGAAUUCUGUUUCUUCUGAUAUUCCACUAAAAGAUUCAUCACAGCUAGUAAGUUCAAGUAUAGUCACAGAAAUAUCCAGAGAGAUUUUAAAUAGUGUUUUGGUUAAAAGUAAAUCUUUUCAGUUGAAGACAAAAUCACUUUCAAAUUCCCAGCUUGCUUCCAUGGCCAAUCUAAGAGCAGAGAAGAAUGAAAAAGUGGAGAGACCAUCUUUUUCUGUCACAAAUCCACAUACUAUGAACCAGUCCACUCACUGCCUUAAACAGAGUAAGACUGUAUUUAUAAACCCAGUUUUUCCAGAUGGAUUUAGGACAGGACAGAAUGCCCCCAGAAAAGGAAAUCUCGUCCAGAACAUAGAGAAAAUAUGUUCCUCUGUUGAUGCAGCAACUGUUACUUCUCAACAGUGUGUUUUCAGAGACCAAGAAUCACAGCUCGCCAAAUCCAUAAGACAAAGUCAAUCACAGAACAAAGUUCAGAAGAUUUGGACAGUGAUAGGUCUUCAAAGAUGAGUAAAAUUAUGUGACUAUGGGUACAUGUGUAUAAUGUAUAUACACAUAUUUGUAUAUGAAAAGAUAGAAUUUUAUGUAUAUAAGAGACAGGGCUUAAAAUAUUUUCUUGCUUUGUUUUUGGUGAUGGUCAAGAGAAAAUUUUCAUUUUUUUUAAGUGCCAUGAAAGGGGUGAAGUAGAAGUCAUCAGAACCUGUAAGUUAAGUAAAAUUUUAUCCAUAUCGUUGACUAUUUGUGCCUUAAACUUAAGACAUAGCAGGAGUUUUGGUUUUUAAGACACGUGUGUUUCUUUCAGCCUUUCUUUCUGUUGACUCUAGUUGAAUAACAUCUAUCAGCUACCAUUCUCUUCUUAAAAAGCCACUGUCCUUGCUUACUUGAUGACUUAAUGUUAGUGGCAGUCCCUUCAGUACAGAAAUCAUUGCAUUUUAAAUACAAGGAGAUAAAUUGUAAUACAAGCAAGAUGGGUUGAAGACAGUAGACUUUUCCAGAAAACUCCAGACUUUCUGUACAGAUUUUACUGUAAUUUUGGUUUGAUUUGGUUUGGUUUGCUUUACUUUGUUUUUUAGUGUCUCAAUAUGUAGCUGAGGCUGGCCUUGAAUUUACCAUCAUCCUGCAUCUGCCUACUGAGUGUGAGUGCCUUAUUUACAGGGUACCAUGCCUAGCCUAGAUUAUUUUAAAGUUGUUGUCAUACCUAGCAUCACCUCAUUUACUUGAGAACAGACCUGUGUUACUAUUCUGUACAAUAACCUAAAGAUUAAUUUUGUGAAUAUUUUAAGUUUGUAUUUAAAUCCAGUUGUUUGAAUGUAUGGUAAAUAUAAUUGUAAUACAAUUGUUUUAAAACAUGAACUGAUCACUUGUGGAAGAUUAGAAAAUUGCUUAUUUGCCAGUCCUAUAAAGUAACAAGUAAUUAGCAAUAUGUGGUCUUUUUUUUUUUUCUCGUUUCCAGACGCAGUAUGAGAUGGCAUCAAUAGUAAAAAAGGAAAUUCAAGAAAAAGGAAAUAACAAGAAAUAUUCUCAAGGAAGCCAUACUAAUAUUAAGGCAUCAUGUCUGAAGAAUGAUGCUGAAUUUAAAAAGCUAUUUGGUCUCACUAAAGAUUUGAGAGUAUGUCUUACUCGAAUUCCUGACCAUCUGAGCUCUGGAAAAAGUUUUAAUUCCUUUAACAGUUUGAUGAAAAGUAGUUCUUACAAAGAUGCAAACAUUGUGGUGAAGAAAGAAGAAAAAAAACAGAGUUUCUCUAAGAAAAGAAAAGCGGAAACCAUGAAGAUGGGUAACACAAAAAAGAUAAAAAUUGAGAAUGCUGAUGACACGGUCAUGAGCAUCAUGAAUGGAACUGAUGUUGCUAGUUCCCAACCUCUCAGUAGUAUUUUACCAACAUCAGACAUAUCACAACAUAACAUUGUCACAAGCCAUAGUACAACCAGGGAAGACAAGAGAACUGAGGCAGAACACUGUUCUCAUGAGAAGCAGGAAAAAGGCACAUUAAGUUCAAGCACAUCUUUUGAACAAAGUACUUUUUUAAAUAAAAACUUUAUGGAAGAUAUUUUUCCAGUGACACCACCAGAACUAGAAGAAACCAUCAGAGAUGAAAAAAUAAGAAGACUUAAGCAAAUUUUAAGAGAAAAAGAAGCAGCUCUUGAAGAAUUGCGUAAGAAGAUGUACCAAAAACAAUAAAAUCUCCAUGGGUUAAAGACUUAUAUUAUUAUAGUAGUUCUCUCCCACCUGUCAGGGAUCCCCACUGGAUGCCUGAAACUGGAGAUGAUACCAAAUCUUGUAUAAAACCACUGUAAAGUCAUGACGUUAACAACUAAAUGUCUACUUAGAUGUAACAAAAAAGUUAUAUAAAUAUACUGAAUGAAGAGGAUAAUCUAUAUCCUUAACAAAAAACUGGAAUUUUUGUCACACAACUUGAAAGUAAUUUAAAAGUUACAAAUUCAUUCUUUUUGGAGUUUCUCAUUUAUACUUAGACACCUGUGUACGAUGGGGAACUAAAAACAAAAGUACCUGCAAGUUAUAAGGGACUACUCUGUUAAUUGUAAAGGUGCUAUGAAAGUGACUUUGUAUAUGAAACGAGUUCCCAAAAGGGUUGAGUCAUGACUUGUCAAUAACCUACAUGAAGUAUUUUGACUUACUUGUUUUGGAAGAAAAGUUGGGUAUUUUUCUGUGAAAUGCAAUUCUCCAAAUUUGAGCAUUUUGUAUAGGGUUUCUGUUAAAUGUUUUCAACUAAAUUCCUCAGGUCUUACCCUAAGAAUAUUGUGUAUAAAUUCUACAACCCAAGUUAUGAAGUAAGCUGUAAGCAUAACUUUACCACUGAGUUUAAUAUGAUCUAUUUGAUAUUGUUAUUUUUAUUUCAUCAAUAAAAUCUAUUAUAAUAAAUGUAUUCAGAUAUUUUUCAAUGUGAAA